ACUGGUAUUCCAUUGUAUUUUGUUGUUGUGCGACAGAUGGCAGCAGAGGGGCGGUCUGACUGAAUGGCACCUGACGUGCAUAUGAAGUAAAGCUGUGUCACUGAAUUCCUCCAUGUGGAAAAAAAUUGCACCCAUUAACAUUCAUCAACACUUGUGAAUGUUUCUGGAGACCAAACAGUGGAUGUGAGCACAGUGAGGCAGUGAGUGGUGCAUAUAAGCAGUGGCAACAGCAACAGUGGGUCACCUCCACCAGUGCAGAUUUUUACAAGCAUGGCAUGCAGGCAAUUUUUCAUCACUAAUAAAAAUGCAGAGCUAAUGGUGGUGACUAUGUUGAAGAAUAGUGUUCUGCAGCUGAGAACUGGCUCUAUCAAAUAGUGUUACUGUGCUUUUGUAUCGACUGUAGUUUCCACAGAAAUGAAUAGGAGGCAUGACUUUCAGAACAACCUACAUACAUACACCCAACACAAUUUUUCUUUCCUCUGUGCAGCCUGGGUAAGUCAAAAGGUUGGACACCCAUGCCCUAGGAGGUCUGUAAAGAGUACGUUUUGGUGAGGAAACAGUGAAAUGGUGAGGAGGUAGGUCAGAAACUGUUUGAGAGACUAGUUAAAGGAAUAAAAAAAAACCCUCAGACCUUCCCCAAACACAAUGGAAGCCAGCAGCCUGAUAGGUAAUCGAUAAGGCCCAGGGGGCUUUCAGAAAGGGAAAAGUUAAGUGGGCUCUAAAUACUGAAGAGCAUUUCAGGGAGAUUCCCAUAGCAUGGGCUUUCCUGGUGAGAAGAAAAUAGGAGUAACUCAAAUUUAGUAGAGAAAGAUUUAGAACAGAUCAAUAAAAUAAGCAGUAAUUAAUCAGCAGGACUGUAUUAUAUUUCCCCAGGGCUGUAAAAGACCCGCUAGCUGCAGUGCACAACCUACCACUUAACAGGUGUUCAGGGAAUAAAACGUGGCAAAGGUGAUCCCAGCUCUGGAGAGGAAAAUUAGGAGAGGUCCAGAGAUUAACAGAUCCAUAAUGAUGACUUGGAAACACUAACCUGGGAAAAUUACGAUGAAGCAUAUCAUUAAAAGAUCUAGGAUAAACAUGAUACAAAGGGAAGAAAGUAUAGUGGCUUCUGUGGAGAGAAAAUCUUGCCUCAUAAAUCCAUUGAGCUCCUUUGAAAGUGUCAGUGUGAUCACAAGUUGUGGUGGUGUGUUAGUGCUACAGGAUGCCUGUGUUUGCAGAAAGGUUUUGACAAGAUCAAGAGAGUAGAUAAAUAAAGAUCUCAUAGUGAGUCAAGAAGAAGGAGUAGGAGUAAAGGAUUUAAUUUUUUUUUUUUUUUUUUCACAAAAAGAGUGAUUUCCAAGGGAGUCCCACCAUCAUCUACAAACAGCGUAGCAAAGGUUACUGAUGUUGUGAACUUUAGGACAAUAUAGACUAAAGCUGACUGCAGAGUGUCACAGGAACAGCUUUCAGUCUAACACACAGAAUUACUCUCACUCAAUUACUCUAUGUUGAAGAUGUGGACAUCUUCAACAUAGGUGUUAGAGAAACUGAGACACCUGAGGCUCGUUAGUAAUCAGUGGAAAGAGGUAUUUCUGAGACUGGAUUCCUCUGAUGUGUAAGAGACAGUUACAUUAGAAUUUGAGGAAUCAGCUCUAGAAAUGCCUCUUUCUAUCCACUUUCACAGUGAAAUGGGAAUGAAUGGCUGAGGCCAUUCAUCUACAUUUAGCCCGAUGGACCUGCUCUGAAUGUGCAGGCAGUAAAAUAGCAGACAAAAUUCAAUGUCAAUAAAUGUAAAGCAGUGAACAUGGAGGAAAACAACCUUAACUACAUAUAUAUAAUUUAAUGGGUUUUAAAUUGGUUAUUACCACUCAGAAAAGAGAACUAGGAGUUACUGCUGAUAAUUCUAUGUGGAAAGCUCUCAGUUCACUGUUAUCAGUGCUCAAAAAGUUCCUAGGAAAGGCUUAAAAUCAAAACAGAAACUAAAUGGUGGCACUGUGAAAAUGGUGCAUCCCUCCUGUUUCAGUGGGGACAGUUCAGGCCCCAUCAUUUCAAAAAUCAUGGUAAAAAUGGUACAGGUGUAGGACAAAGGCAAGAGGGUUGCCCAAAGGUUGGAACACCUUUUGAAUGGGGAAAGGUACAACAAGGAGGACUCAUCAUUACUGGGACCAAUGCUCUUUAAUAUCUUCAUCAAAGCCAUGAACAGUGGAUUGAGUGCACCCUCAGCAAGCCUGUAGACAACACCAAGCUGAGGGAUGGGAUACCAUCCAGAGAGACCUAGAUAAGCUGAAGCAGUGGGCCCAGGUGAUCAUCAUGAUGUCCAACAAAGCCAAGUGCAAGCUCUUGCACCUGGGUCAUAGCAACCCUGCCUAUCAAUACAAGCUGGGGAAUGUAAGAAUAGAGCACAGCCCUGCCAAAAAGGACCUGGGGGUACAGGUGGAUGGCAAGCUGAGCAUGAGCCAGCAAUGUGCCCUUGCAGACCAAAAAGUCAGCCGUAUACCCUGGGAUGCAUCAAAAGAAAUGUGGCCAGCAGGGCGAGAGAGGUGAUCCUGCCCCUCUACUCUGUGCUGGCAAGACCUCACCUGGAGCACUGCAUCCAGAUGUAGAGUGCUCAGUACAGGAGAGACACAGACCUGUUGGAGCACAUCCAGAAGAGGGCCACAGAAGUGAUUCAAGGGACGAAACACCUCUCCUACAAGGACAGGCUGAGAGAGCUGGGAGUAUUCAGCCUGGAGAAGAGAAAGCUCUGGGGAGCCUUUCAGUAUCUAAAGGAGAGCUGUAAGAAAGAAGGGGACAGACUCCUUAGCAGGGUCUGUUGUGACAGGAAAAGGGAAAAUGGUUUCAAACUAAAAGAGAGAAGAUUUAGACUGUAUAUAAGGAGGUUUUUUGUGGUAAGGGUAGUGAAGCACUGGAACACUGGAAAAACUGCAUAUUCGCUGCACUGACAGAUAUAAAUCAGGGACAAGAUGUUCCCUUUGUUUAGACAGGUUAUUCAGAGCUGCCUAUGUCUAGCAAAAGGCCGGUAAGUGAUCUGCCAGGGCUUCCCUUAAUGGCCAGAGUUUAAAAGGGUCCCAAUAAGGCACAGCAAAGCAGAACUGUGGCUGAGGACAGGACGUACUGAAACCCACCCAGGUGGAUCUACCAGAUUGACUGGGGACCACAGCAAAGGACCUCAGUGGAACCCUACAAAACCAAUCCAUAUAUCUUUAUAUUUGAUAUAUAACAUACUUUAUAUAAAUACAUAAUAUAUUUUUUUAACUCUGCAUACAGGCAUUUGGAAAAAUGUCUAAGCUGCUGCUUGGAGAUUGAUUCUUCAAAACUGCCAAAACUGCAAAUCCACUAAUGUGCCACAGAAAUUGAGAAUUAGCAGUGUCUGCCUUGGAGAUCUUCCAAACACAGAGAUAAUACUACGAAAAAAAUGGCAGAAAAGAAAUGAGAAAGAACUAGAAAUCUUUCACGUCCUUCACAGUGGAUAUACCACAGCUCCAUGCAGGAAGGAGUGUGGAUGUGUUUCUGCUUCCCUUGUGUCCCCCCAGUCCCACAGCACCACUGCUGGCACUGAAACCUUCGGCACACUGUGAGGAACCUACCCAGCCCCUCCAUGGGGACAUGCGGCACAAAGCCACUGCAGCAUUUUAGUUGGGCUCUCCCUUCUUCAGGAACUCAUGCUGGAUGAUGUCAACCUUUGUGGUUAACAGCUUAUUUAAUAAAAUAUUGAUUUUUUUUUUCCCCUCGUGCUGUAGGAAAUAAGACCUUCAAGCACGUUGAUGAAGUACUUUAGUUUCCUUAAAUUCUUUCCAGGGUCUUAACUGAAAGUCUGAAUCCUAAACUAGACGUUUCCCAUUCAUUUAUGCUCACAUUUCCUGCAAGUCCUAUAAAGUAUGUGCACCAAGUUGGCCGAUGAAGGAGCACACCACAACUUUUUUGAUUUCUCCAGAGGUAGAGGUCCACCAUCAGCUGUGCAUGGAAAAAUCUAUGAGUGUGAUUUUGAGAGGAAAAAGCCCUUACAAACAGCACUGGGGUAAAGCAUGGGGCAAAGCAUCAAUAUCUGUAAUAGCUUCUUGCCGACCAAAACUAAACAAAGUGGAAAUGAAAUGGUUUGUAUAUCUCACACAAGAAGCAUAUGUAAUUUGGAUAGUGUAAACUGCAAUUAAGCAGUGCAUGUGAGAAACAUACAUCAUUUGCAUCUCAUUAAUGAAUAAUAAAAUUAGUAUUAGAGAUGAGGAUGUACUACAAGCUGAGGUAUAGAGAUUUGGUUUAUCCCUAAAACAAAGAUUUUGAAAACAGAAACCAUUACAUUUUUAAAUAAUAAAGGAAAAUAAAGAGUAUCUGUAGGGUUCUGAAACAGUAUUUAACUGAAGGCCUAAUUUUCUAAAAUACAGAACAAAAAGACACUAUAAAGACUUUAUUUCAAGAAUACACAUGGUAUUCCUAAUAGUGUUCACUAUAAUGCAGAAUGGUACUAAGGAGUAACAGUACGCCUUGCUGAUGACAUCUAGGAAUUGUACCUGUACUGAUAAAUUCUGAAAUGAAGUAGCAUCAUCUGAAAUACAGAAACCUCAGUUUAAAAAUUUCUUUAUCUGCUAAGUUUGUAAUUUAAUCUUUCACAAAAUAAAUGGAUUGAAAUCAAAUUCUGCUUUUUUUUUUUUUUUUUUUUUUUUUUUUUUUUUUUAAC
rnacentral:lncRNA from 1 species